rnacentral:rRNA from 1 species
UGGGGAAUAUUGCGCAAUGGGGGGAACCCUGACGCAGCCAUGCGCGUGAAUGAAGAAGGCCUUAGGGUUGUAAAGUUCUUUCGGUAUUGAGGAAGGUUGAUGUGUUAAUAGCACAUCAAAUUGACGUUAAAUACAGAAGAAGCACCGGCUAACUCCGUGCCAGCAGCCGCGGUAAUACGGAGGGUGCGAGCGUUAAUCGGAAUAACUGGGCGUAAAGUUCACNCAGGCGGUUAUUUAAGUGAGGUGUGAAAGCCCCGGGCUUAACCUGGGAAUUGCAUUUCAGACUGGGUAACUAGAGUACUUUAGGGAGGGGUAGAAUUCCACGUGUAGCGGUGAAAUGCGUAGAGAUGUGGAGGAAUACCGAAGGNGAAGNNNGCCCCUUGGGAAUGUACUGACGCUCAUGUGCGAAAGCNNGGGGGAGCAAACAGGAUUAGAUACCCUGGUAGUCCACGCUGUAAACGCUGUCGAUUUGGGGGGUGGGGUUUAACUCUGGCGCCCGUAGCUAACGUGAUAAAUCGACCGCCUGGGGAGUACGGCCGCAAGUU